CCUCCAGACUCCUACGGGAGGCAGCAGUGGGGAAUAUUGCACAAUGGGGGAAACCCUGAUGCAGCGACGCCGCGUGAGUGAAGAAGUAUUUCGGUAUGUAAAGCUCUAUCAGCAGGGAAGAUAAUGACGGUACCUGACUAAGAAGCCCCGGCUAACUACGUGCCAGCAGCCGCGGUAAUACGUAGGGGGCAAGCGUUAUCCGGAUUUACUGGGUGUAAAGGGUGCGUAGGUGGCAUGGCAAGUCAGCGGUAAAAGCCGGGGGCUCAACCCCGGCGAGCCGUUGAAACUGGCGGGCUGGAGUUGGAGAGAAGUACGCGGAAUGCGCGGUGUAGCGGUGAAAUGCUUAGAUAUCGCGCAGAACCCCGAUUGCGAAGGCAGCGUACCGGCUCCACACUGACGCUGAGGCACGAAAGCGUGGGUAUCGAACAGGAUUAGAUACCCUAGUAAU
rnacentral:rRNA from 1 species